rnacentral:lncRNA from 1 species
CUGCGCGAGGACCAGUUCCACAUCAGUGUCAUCAGGGGCGGCCUCAGUAACAUGCUGUUCGAGUGCUCCCUGCCGGAGACCACGGCCACGGUCGGCGACGAGCCCCGGAAGGUGCUUCUGAGGCUGUACGGGGCGAUCCUGCAGAUGGUACCAGACGGAACUCGGAGUGCGGUCCUGGGUCCUGUGGCAGCACCGCAGUGAUGGAGUAUUCUGGAUCUGCGUUGUCCAGGAUGCCUGGCACCAGCCACAUGUGACUGUUGGACCGUUGAAAUGGAGCAAGUGUGACCAAUUAAUUGAAUUUCAAAUUUUAUUUCAGUGAAUUUGAAUUUAAACAGUCACGUAUAACUGGCGGCUACCAUAUUGGACAACGGGUCGUGCUGAGUCACUGAGCGAAAAGCCAGCUGCAACACGGCUUGCAACUUGGCAGCACAGAUGGCGAAACUCCUGCCUGCAGAGUCACCCUGGCGGAAGCUCAGGAGCUCAAACAAGGUCUGAGGAGGCGUUUUCACUGUGGAGACAGCUGAUGGCCAAGAGGUCGCGUGAGCGCCCGCCCUGUAACCCGAUGCUUUCCUUUCUGGUUCUGGGAAGGAGCCCGGCCCGGCAGAACCCGCGCACCUUUCCCAGAAGCGCGUCUGGCUGAUUUCCCGUACCCAGUUUGCUCACUUAUCAUGAAUUGUGGAAGACACAAAUGUCACCCGACCCAGGAUUCUGCCGAGUCCCGCCUGUCGUCCUCCGUGCCUGCGUUGGUGCCUUCUCGCCAUAACUGAAUGAGCCGCAGACUGCUGUGUCUAGUUUCGACAUAGCCAGCGUCGUUGUCGUGCCGGUCUGCAGUGUUUGGGCUCACAGCAUGAAGCCAGCGCAGGUCCUGGUCCCUGGACCGCAGCCGCCCGCUGUGGGAGGCGUGUGCGGGGAGGCGUGCGGGGCGCGGGCACUGCUCACCUGAGCUGUGUGUGU